rnacentral:tRNA from 1 species
GGAGGGGUGGCAGAGCGGUUGAAUGCGGUCGUCUUGAAAACGACUGGCCCUUCAAUAAGGCCCGUGGGUUCGAAUCCCACCUCCUCCG